CGGGGGCAACCCUGGUGGCGAGUGGCGAACGGGUGAGUAAUGCAUCGGAACGUGCCCAUUGAUGGGGGAUAACUGCGCGAAAGCGUUGCUAAUACCGCAUACGACCUACGGGUGAAAGCAGGGGACCGCAAGGCCUUGCGUCGAUGGAGCGGCCGAUGUCGGAUUAGCUUGUUGGUGAGGUAAAGGCUCACCAAGGCGACGAUCCGUAGCUGGUCUGAGAGGACGACCAGCCACACUGGGACUGAGACACGGCCCAGACUCCUACGGGAGGCAGCAGUGGGGAAUCUUGGACAAUGGGCGAAAGCCUGAUCCAGCAAUGCCGCGUGUGGGAAGAAGGCCUUCGGGUUGUAAACCACUUUUGGCAGGAAAGAAAUCGUUUGCGAUAAUACCGCGAAUGGAUGACGGUACCUGCAGAAUAAGCACCGGCUAACUACGUGCCAGCAGCCGCGGUAAUACGUAGGGUGCGAGCGUUAAUCGGAAUUACUGGGCGUAAAGCGUGCGCAGGCGGUUGGAAAAGAUAGAUGUGAAAUCCCUGGGCUCAACCUAGGAAUUGCAUUUAUGACUAUCCGACUAGAGUACGGUAGAGGGGAGUGGAAUUCCGCGUGUAGCAGUGAAAUGCGUAGAUAUGCGGAGGAACACCGAUGGCGAA
rnacentral:rRNA from 1 species